CAUAUCCCGAGAUUUUGCCAUCUAUAUUAUGUCUUCCACACACAAAGAUAUAACAACAAUUCAUUAUACAAAUUCCAUUUGGAGUAUGAGAAGGAGCAAAAAGCAAGCAAAAAUGUGUUUGUACCUAAGACCUAUUCAGCCUGCAGUGAGAAACGACAAGGAGCUAAGCAAGCGUCUUGGAUGACCUAAUUGGCUAAUGGAUGACUGGAUACUCAUCCCGAAGAAAAUCAGUUUUUAAAAAUAG